GGAGAGAGCCAAGUUCAAGCGCAAGUACAAAGUGAAGCUUGUGGAGAAGCGGGCGUUCCGUGAGAUCCAGCUAUAGUCACUGCUGGAUGCCGGAGCCCCUAACUUUCAAUAAAGCACUUUCUGACAGCUUA